AGAUGGGGAGAAUCGUUGCCACUGUAGCUUGCGUAAUCUUCCAGAUAAGUUAUGCAAUUGGACAGUUGCAGCCAUUUUGUGAGGAUCCAGCAGACCGAGGGCCGUGUAACAAGCUAGAACUGCG